UACGUAGGGACCAAGCGUUGUUCGGAUUUACUGGGCGUAAAGGGCGCGUAGGCGGCGCGGUAAGUCACUUGUGAAAUCUCUGAGCUUAACUCAGAACGGCCAAGUGAUACUGCAGUGCUAGAGUGUGGAAGGGCAAUCGGAAUUCUUGGUGUAGCGGUGAAAUGCGUAGAUAUCAAGAGGAACACCUGAGGUGAAGACGGGUUGCU
rnacentral:rRNA from 1 species